rnacentral:lncRNA from 1 species
CGGAAAAUCCUCGGAAGAUGUGGCAUUACUACCGACGCCGGUACCUGCUGCAUUGAGAGCAGAGGCGCUGCCACUACCGCUGCCCCUUCGAGGGAACAUUGCCGGGUGCGCCAUCUUCCUAGCGCUAAUGUCUGCAGCGGCGGCGGCCGCGGCGGUGGACUCAGGCGGCUGGUGCAUUGUGUUGGGUACCGGGGGCGCGGAGGAGACGAGUGCAAUUUCCUUCUGCACCGUAAUCUUUGUAUUGGAGACGCCGGAGAGGAAAACGGGACCUGACGCUCCGCCUGGCGCGAUUCCUCCUUCUCCUCCUCCUCAGCCAAAGGCGCCGGUCGCUCCUGCCUUCGAGAGCGAGCUUCGGAAAGGAGGAUGAACGAGGCCGGCUCUUCCUCACCCCGCUGCUCCCGCGACCGGGCGGGAGAGGGCCGCAGGCGGCGGCGGCUCCUUUCUCCGCGGCGUUGGUGGCCAGACGGGCUGGUGCAGCGACUGCAGCCGACGCCGUUCAAAGGAACGAGCAACAGCAUCACGAGUUUCAGUUCCCAGGAGCCCGCCGCCGCGGCUGCUGCCGCUGCCACGACAUGAGUCAGGCUUUCUUCCCUGGCGCGUGGCGGAAACCUCCUCCCCCUCGCCGCACCUGGGCUCGCCCCCGGCCCUUGCCUCCUCGGGGGAUGCCCUAGGGCCGGGAGCUGUGGGGUCUAUGGAAGGCCGGUGGCUCCCGGUGAUAGGUGUUGUCUUUUGUGCAGUGCAGUUGCUGCCAUGCGGUCCCCUCGCCCUUCCACGGGCAGGGGCGAGGCGGCCGGGCAGAUGUUGCAGCUGUUUCCAGUUAACUGCCUGAGCUCCUCUGGGCUAGGCUCUUCUCUAACGAGGAGUGGUUGCAAUCCAUCCUUAACUGGAGGACAGAAGCAGGCCGGCCCUGUAAUCGACUGACCUCAACAGGUGUCUCCAAGCAGCGACGCCUUUUUCGUUCAUCGUCCUGGCUAUAUCCCCCAUUGGUUUGACUCAGGAGGCAAGGUGGUCCGGACAUGUGAGCAACACAAAUGAUAAGAAUGCCUUUUAGGGCUAGAAAAGAAAAAGCCAUCCGAAAUUCCAGUUUUAAAAUACACACACACACACACGUUACAUUUCAUGGGUCCAAAUGUAGUUCUACAGAAGCAAUGUUAGGUUUGAUUGGGGGCAAUUUACUGGCGGUUACUUUCUUGGUAUUUCAUGUCAAAACCUAGUUCUAAGCGUUUCUUACCAAUAAUCGAGAAUGUAAGUCUUUCCCAGGAAUUUAAAAAUGAUAAAGCAAGCCGAAAAACUGUAGGGAGGAAUUUUCAUUUUGUUAAAUUUAGGUUGUUAGGGGAAUCAACGCUUAUGGUUAGACCUCUGAUUCAGGAAGUCUCAAGGAUUUACAUUCCUAUUUCAGAAGAUUGUUAAAGCAAAAACGAUUGUCAUUUGCAGUUUUGAUACACCUCUAGUUGUCAGUUCAACUUUUUACCUUUAGUUUUCUCUGAACUCUUCCCCUUGUUCCAAGGGGAAGCUUUCAAAAAGUGAAUUAUGUCACCAUUUGCAUGUUAUUGAAUAGAAGUGCACUCUUAACAUCCCAUUUAUCCAGUGUCAAAGCUAUGAUACAUUGUUGCUUUAUGUGGGGUCUCCCACACUGAAAAGAAAAACCCGGACUUCAUUUAUUUAUUUAUUUAUUUAUUUAUUUAUUUAUUACUUUAUAUUGCUAAUGUAAACCUCUGCUAGAAGUAAAUAGGCUCUCGCAAAUAUUCAAAGUGAUACAGUAAUAAACAUCAAAUAUGUUUGAGAAGACUACUUGUUCUAUGAUAUUAAUAUGUGAUUGGUUGUUUUUAUAGAACUAUGGCUAUUUGUGUUUUCACAAAAAUAAUUUCUUUUUUACUUUUUGAGCUUUUGUUGCAAGUAAUAUGCCUGGUUAAUCGCUGCCAUCCAUUGUUGAAAUGCAAAUUUGACAUUCUUUUUCAAUAGUUUUUGAAUGGAAAAUAGAAACUACCCUAACCGAUUGAAACUGCAAUGGAAUGUAGAUGGGUGGAAUGUCCUUUCUUUGGACUGCAGUAUGAAAGAAAAUGCUCUUGAUCUCUCAAAAUGUAGCCUUAAGUCAAAGGUUUUUUGUUUUGUUUUGUUUUGUUUUUUAAGUCAAAGUUUUAAAUUACCCCAAACAGCAGCUGUAUACCCUUUGGGCCACCUAAAUAACUCACCAUGAUUGUGCUGAUAUGCUUUGACGCUUAAUAAACACAUAUAUUAAAGUCUUACCCAAAGCUGAUAGAGUAAAAGAGCUGUUGAGAUAGCCCCUCUGGAAGCAGAUACUUGUUCUAAUGACCAGUAGCAAAGGGUACUGUUUGAGCUGUUUUGAUGGGGGAGGAAGGGUUGGGGUGUUAUUCCCUUUAAAAUAAAGGUUUAAAAAAAAAUCCAGAAUUUAAGACGUAAGAAAAUAAGAUCUUUUGAAGUGUAUUAAUUUUUGCCUGCCAUAUCACUUUCAAACUCCUGCUUAGGCUGCAUCAAGUCCCACUAAGAUAUAAAGAGCAAGUCAGCCGGGCGCGGUGGCUCGUGCCUAUAAUCCCAGCACUUUAGGAGGCUGAGGCGGGCGGAUCACGAGGUGAGGAGAUCAAGACCAUUCUGGCUAACGCAGUGAAACCCCAUCUCUACUAAAAAUACGAAAAAUUAGCUGGGCGUGGUGGCAGGUGCCUGUAGUCCCAGCUACGUGAGAAGCUGAGGCAGGGGAAUGUCGUGAACCUGGGAGGCGGAGCUUGCAGUGAGCCGAGAUCAGGCCACUACACUCCAGCCUGGGCGACAGAGCGAGACUCCGUCUCAAAAAAAUAAAAAUAAAAAAUAAAAAAUAAAAAGGGCAACUCUACAGUUAGGGAAAUCUGAGUUUCAAAAAUCUGGGUCUCUCCCCCUCCAAAAUUCUUACGACAGCAAUAUAUGAACACAAAUACGUUGAAACAAGGAGAAGGCACCUCAAGAGCCAGAUUUUGUUAUACUAUCAUCUUUUAAUUAAAAAGGUCUGGAUUUUUAUUAUAUAAACAUUAAAUGCCGACUGCUAUGUAUAAUAAAGUCAUUAAAUCCUUUAAACCAAGU